UAAAUGCAUAGCAGUCGGAAGAAGCCAAGACUGCCUCAUAUCACUAUUUUGAACCAUCAUUCCAGAAAAUCUUAUUUAAUACAACCAUCUCAUAUAGUCAAAAUUGGUAAAAAAAAAAUACUGGCAAAAUAUAGGAAAAAUUAUAAGGCAUUUUUCUAACAUUUAGUAUCAUUUGAUUUAAAGUUUAGGUUUAUGUUAAUGUUAAAAAGUAAAAAAAAGAAAUGUUUAAAAGAUACUCUAUAAUUAUUUGAGUGACUGGACAAAAUAAUUGCUUAAACCUUAGAAGACAGUGUAUAAGACUCAGAGAAAAUGCAUGGAGGAUUUGUUAUUUAGACAAAGUGUACUAUACUUAGUAAGCAUUUUAAAAUGUUUUCAAAUUCAGCAAUCAAUCGUUUUUCACUUCACCCAGGAGAGUGAGGAGGAAUCCACUGUCAUUCACAUAUGAAUAAAGAAGUUUCUGGAAACUGACAUGUGGAAGAAUCACACCUCCCUUCUCUUCUGAAAUUGAACAUGCCUGUAUGAUUUGUUAGGAUUGUGGAUGAUCAUCUCCCAUGCUCAGAUGCUCAGUCUCAGGCAGUGGUGUUUGGUAGAAAUAAGUGAUUUAUCAGAACGUUGGAAGGUACCCGCAACUGGCACUAGUGUAUUUUUUGUCAGUUCAAAGCACCUAUGGAAAGUCCUUUGCUUUUCCAUACAAGAGAAAGCUUAGGAAUACCUUGCUUCUUUCUAGAUCAGGCUGCCUGCAGAUAUAGACCCUUUCCUCUGCUGCCUUAUCCCCAGUUACAUUAAAUACAGUAUAUGACAAGAUUUUAUUAAUACUGUACUGUAGCCAAUAUCCGUGUGAGCAUACACAAUGGCCCCCAUGCAGGAAAAGAUUCCACUGGACCACUAGAUAGCAGUGAUUCUAUUAGUGUUAGUGAAAGUCAUCCUACACAAUAUCCCUUCUUUCUCUUGUCUCCCUCACGCCAGCCAUGAAGGUUUUCAAAGGUAAGUGCAGGUUAAUUUAUUUUUCUUUAUAUUUUACAUAUUCUUUAUUACUUUUAUUAUAUUACAGUACUGUAAUCAUGCUUAUAUGAAUAUCUUUGGGUUGUAGAAUGAAUCACCUGAGCUUCCGUGUUUUCUUAUGGGGAAAUUUGCUUUGAUACACAAGUGCUUUGCAUUACAAGCAUGUUUCCAGAACUAAUUAUGCUCACAAACCAAGGUUUUACUGCACAUCUGAAACGUGAUUUCACCAUUACAGACUUAUGGGAUUUUUAAAGUUGUUAAUGGUAUUCAUGUAUAUGUAUUUUGC